AGGCGAUGAAGGACGCGGUAGCCUGCGAAAAGCGGAGGGGAGCUGGCAAACGAGCUUUGAUCCUCCGAUAUCCGAAUGGGGAAACCCGGCCCGUAUGGGUCAUCCGUAACUGAAUACAUAGGUUACGUGAAGCGAACGCGGUGAACUGAAACAUCUAAGUAACCGCAGGAAAAGAAAUCAACCGAGAUUCCCAGAGUAGUGGCGAGCGAAAUGGGACCAGCCUGUACUCUUUAUCUUCAUUGUUAGUCGAAGGCUCUGGAAAGUGCCGCCAUAGCAGGUGAUAGCCCUGUAGACGAAAACAGCGAGGAAGAACUAGGUGUACGGAAAGUAGGGCGGGACACGUGAAAUCCUGUCUGAAGAUGGGGGGACCAUCCUCCAAGGCUAAAUACUCGUGAUCGACCGAUAGUGAACCAGUACCGUGAGGGAAAGGCGAAAAGAACCCCGGGAGGGGAGUGAAACAGAUCCUGAAACCGCAUGCAUACAAACAGUCGGAGCCUCUGCGAAGGGGUGACGGCGUACCUUUUGUAUAAUGGGUCAGCGACUUACAUUCAGUGGCAAGCUUAACCGAUUAGGGCAGGCGUAGCGAAAGCGAGUCCGAACAGGGCGAUUCAGUCGCUGGGUGUAGACCCGAAACCAGGUGAUCUAUCCAUGGCCAGGAUGAAGGUGCGGUAACACGUACUGGAGGUCCGAACCCACUAACGUUGAAAAGUUAGGGGAUGAGCUGUGGAUAGGGGUGAAAGGCUAAACAAACCUGGAAAUAGCUGGUUCUCUCCGAAAACUAUUUAGGUAGUGCCUCGUGUAUCACCUUCGGGGGUAGAGCACUGUCAUGGUUGUGGGGUCCAUUGCGGAUUACUACGCCAUAGCAAACUCCGAAUACCGAAGAGUGCAAUCACGGGAGACAGACAUCGGGUGCUAACGUCCGGUGUCAAGAGGGAAACAACCCAGACCGCCAGCUAAGGUCCCCAAAUAUUGCUAAGUGGGAAACGAAGUGGGAAGGCUAAAACAGUCAGGAGGUUGGCUUAGAAGCAGCCAUCCUUUAAAGAAAGCGUAAUAGCUCACUGAUCGAGUCGUCCUGCGCGGAAGAUGUAACGGGGCUAAGCAAUAUACCGAAGCUGCGGAUGCACAUUUAUGUGCAUGGUAGGAGAGCGUUCCGUAAGCCUGCGAAGGUGCAUUGAAAAGUGUGCUGGAGGUAUCGGAAGUGCGAAUGCUGACAUGAGUAGCGAUAAAGGGGGUGAAAGGCCCCCUCGCCGUAAGCCCAAGGUUUCCUACGCAACGUUCAUCGGCGUAGGGUGAGUCGGCCCCUAAGGCGAGGCAGAAAUGCGUAGCUGAUGGGAAGCAGGUUAAUAUUCCUGCACCAUUGUUAAAUGCGAUGGGGGGACGGAUCGCGGAAGGUUGUCCGGGUGUUGGAAGUCCCGGUCCUUGCAUUGGAGAAGGCGCUCAGGCAAAUCCGGGCGCGGAAUUCAAGGGUGCGAGGCCAUUCACUUAGGUGAAGAAGCAAUCGGAAGUGGUUCCAAGAAAAGCCUCUAAGCUUCAGUUUAACAGGACCGUACCGCAAACCGACACAGGUGGGCGAGAUGAGUAUUCUAAGGCGCUUGAGAGAACUCGGGAGAAGGAACUCGGCAAAUUGGUACCGUAACUUCGGGAUAAGGUACGCCCCUGUAGCUUGAUGCCCCUGCGGGCAGAGGGUGAAGGGGUUGCAAUAAACUGGUGGCUGCGACUGUUUAAUAAAAACACAGCACUCUGCAAACACGAAAGUGGACGUAUAGGGUGUGACGCCUGCCCGGUGCCGGAAGAUUAAAUGAUGGGGUGCAAGCUCUUGAUUGAAGUCCCGGUAAACGGCGGCCGUAACUAUAACGGUCCUAAGGUAGCGAAAUUCCUUGUCGGGUAAGUUCCGACCUGCACGAAUGGCGUAACGAUGGCCACACUGUCUCCUCCCGAGACUCAGCGAAGUUGAAGUGUUUGUGAUGAUGCAAUCUCCCCGCGGCUAGACGGAAAGACCCCAUGAACCUUUACUGUAGCUUUGCAUUGGACUUUGAACCGAUCUGUGUAGGAUAGGUGGGAGGCUAUGAAGCGUGGACGCCAGUCUGCGUGGAGCCGUCCUUGAAAUACCACCCUGGUUUGUUUGAGGUUCUAACCUUGGUCCGUAAUCCGGAUCGGGGACAGUGCAUGGUAGGCAGUUUGACUGGGGCGGUCUCCUCCCAAAGUGUAACGGAGGAGUACGAAGGUACGCUAGGUACGGUCGGAAAUCGUGCUGAUAGUGCAAUGGCAUAAGCGUGCUUAACUGCGAGACCGACAAGUCGAGCAGGUGCGAAAGCAGGUCAUAGUGAUCCGGUGGUUCUGUAUGGAAGGGCCAUCGCUCAACGGAUAAAAGGUACUCUGGGGAUAACAGGCUGAUACCGCCCAAGAGUUCAUAUCGACGGCGGUGUUUGGCACCUCGAUGUCGGCUCAUCUCAUCCUGGGGCUGUAGCCGGUCCCAAGGGUAUGGCUGUUCGCCAUUUAAAGAGGUACGUGAGCUGGGUUUAAAACGUCGUGAGACAGUUUGGUCCCUAUCUGCCGUGGGCGCUGGAUAUUUGAAGGGGGCUGCUCCUAGUACGAGAGGACCGGAGUGGACGAACCUCUGGUGUACCGGUUGUCACGCCAGUGGCAUCGCCGGGUAGCUAUGUUCGGAAGAGAUAACCGCUGAAAGCAUCUAAGCGGGAAACUCGCCUUAAGAUGAGAUAUCCCCGGGGCUUCGAGCCCCUUGAAGGGUCGUUCAAGACCAGGACGUUGAUAGGUCAGGUGUGGAAGCGCAGUAAUGCGUUAAGCUAACUGAUACUAAUUGCCCGUAAGGCUUGAUCCU
rnacentral:rRNA from 1 species